UGGGGAAUUUUGCACAAUGGGGGCAACCCUGAUGCAGCGACGCCGCGUGAUUUAGAAGGCCUUCGGGUUGUAAAAAUCUUUUGUAUAGGAAGAAAAUGACAGUACUAUACGAAUAAGGUCCGGCUAAUUACGUGCCAGCAGCCGCGGUAAUACGUAAGGACCGAGCGUUGUCCGGAAUCAUUGGGCGUAAAGGGUACGUAGGCGGUUAAAAAAGUUAGAAGUGAAAGGCUAUAGCUCAACUAUAGUAAGCUUUUAAAACUGUUUAACUUGAGAGAUGGAAGGGAAAGUGGAAUUCCUAGUGUAGCGGUGAAAUGCGCAGAUAUUAGGAGGAAUACCGGUGGCGAAGGCGACUUUCUGGCCAUUAUCUGACGCUGAGGUACGAAAGCGUGGGUAGUAAACAGG
rnacentral:rRNA from 1 species